rnacentral:rRNA from 1 species
ACCAUGCAAGUCGAGCGGCAGCGGGAAGUAGCUUGCUUCGGGUGAGUAUAGCGGCGGACGGGUGAGUAAUGCAUGGGAAUCUGCCCAGUAGUGGGGGACAACAGUUGGAAACGACUGCUAAUACCGCAUACGCCCUACGGGGGAAAGUGGGGGACCUUCGGGCCUCACGCUACUGGAUGAGCCCAUGUCAGAUUAGCUAGUUGGUGGGGUAAAGGCUCACCUAGGCGACGAUCUCUAGCUGGUUUGAGAGGAUGAUCAGCCACACUGGGACUGAGACACGGCCCAGACUCCUACGGGAGGCAGCAGUGGGGAAUAUUGCACAAUGGGCGAAAGCCUGAUGCAGCCAUGCCGCGUGUGUGAAGAAGGCCUUCGGGUUGUAAAGCACUUUCAGUUGUGAGGAAAGGUAUUAAUUUAAUAAAUUAAUACUGUGACGUUAGCAACAGAAGAAGCACCGGCUAACUCCGUGCCAGCAGCCGCGGUAAUACGGAGGGUGCGAGCGUUAAUCGGAAUUACUGGGCGUAAAGCGUGCGUAGGUGGUUUGUUAAGCAAGAUGUGAAAGCCCUGGGCUCAACCUGGGAACUGCAUUUUGAACUGGCAAGCUAGAGUUUUGUAGAGGGUAGUGGAAUUUCCAGUGUAGCGGUGAAAUGCGUAGAGAUCUGAAGGAAUACCAGUGGCGAAGGCGGCCACCUGGACAAUAACUGACACUCAUGUACGAAAGCGUGGGGAGCAAACGGGAUUAGAUACCCCGGUAGUCCACGCCGUAAACGAUGUCAACUAGCCGUCUGUGACCUUGUCCCUUUAGUGUCGCAGCUAACGCGUUAAGUUCUCCGCCUGGGGAGUACGGCCGCAAGGUUAAAACUCAAAUGAAUUGACGGGGGCCCGCACAAGCGGUGGAGCAUGUGGUUUAAUUCGAUGCAACGCGAAGAACCUUACCUACUCUUGACAUCCACAGAAGUUUGAAGAGAUUCGAACGUGCCUUCGGGAACUGUGAGACAGGUGCUGCAUGGCUGUCGUCAGCUCGUGUUGUGAAAUGUUGGGUUAAGUCCCGCAACGAGCGCAACCCCUAUCCUUAGUUGCCAGCACGUAAUGGUGGGAACUCUAGGGAGACUGCCGGUGACAAACCGGAGGAAGGUGGGGAUGACGUCAAGUCAUCAUGGCCCUUAUGAGUAGGGCUACACACGUGCUACAAUGGUCGGUACAAAGGGUUGCCAAGCCGCGAGGUGGAGCAAAUCCCAUAAAACCGAUCGUAGUCCGGAUUGGAGUCUGCAACUCGACUCCAUGAAGUCGGAAUCGCUAGUAAUCGUAGAUCAGAAUGCUACGGUGAAUACGUUCCCGGGCCUUGUACACACCGCCCGUCACACCAUGGGAGUGGGUUGCAAAAGAAGUAGGUAGCUUAACCUUCGGGAGGGCGCUUACCACUUUGUGAUUCAUGACUGGGGUGAAGUCGUAACAAGGUAGCCG